rnacentral:pre_miRNA from 1 species
GGGGGGAGGCCGAUCCUGGGCUGUGUCCCGGCGCCCUGUGCUCCGGAGCCUGCGCUGUUGGAUUCGCGCUCUCGCCCCGCAGCCCCCU